AGCAGCCGCGGUAAUUCCAGCUCCAAUAGCGUAUAUUAAAGUUGUUGCAGUUAAAAAGCUCGUAGUUGAAUUUCGGGAUUCAUCCGUUGGUCGGGCUUUUGGGUCUGUACUGGCUCGAUGAAUUUCUACCUUCUGAAUAACCAACAUGCCAUUAAUUUGGUGCGUUGGGGAAGCAGGACUGUUACCUUGAAAAAAUUAGAGUGCUUAAAGCAGGCUAUCGCCUGAAUACAUUAGCAUGGAAUAAUGAAAUAGGACGCAUGAUUCUAUUUUGUUGGUUUCUAGGAUCACCGUAAUGAUUAAUAGGGAUAGUUGGGGGCAUUAGUAUUCAAUUGUCAGAGGUGAAAUUCUUGGAUUUAUUGAAGACUAACUUCUGCGAAAGCAUUUGCCAAGGAUGUUUUCAUUAAUCAAGAACGAAAGUUAGGGAUCGAAGACGAUCAGAUACCGUCGUAGUCUUAACCAUAAACUAUAGACCGACUAGGGGACUCGGACGUAUGUUUAACUUUUUUAAUAGUACUUCGUU
rnacentral:rRNA from 1 species